AUUGAACGCUGGCGGCAGGCCUAACACAUGCAAGUCGAGCGGAUGAAGGGUGCUUGCUCCUGGAUUCAGCGGCGGACGGGUGAGUAAUGCCUAGGAACCUGCCUGGUAGUUGGGGAUAACGUCCGGAAACGGGCGCUAAUACCGCAUUCGUCCUGAGGGAGAAAGUGGGGGAUCUUCGGACCUCACGCUAUUAGAUGAGCCUAGGUCGGAUUAGCUAGUUGGUGGGGUAAAGGCCUACCAAGGCGACGAUCCGUAACUGGUCUGAGAGGAUGAUCAGUCACACUGGAACUGAGACACGGUCCAGACUCCUACGGGAGGCAGCAGUGGGGAAUAUUGGACAAUGGGCGAAAGCCUGAUCCAGCCAUGCCGCGUGUGUGAAGAAGGUCUUCGGAUUGUAAAGCACUUUAAGUGGGGAAGAAGGGCAGUAAGUUAAUACCUUGCUGUUUUGACGUUACCAACAGAAUAAGCACCGGCUAACUUCGUG
rnacentral:rRNA from 1 species